UUCAGCCCUUUGCGUUUUAGCGCCUUUGUAAACAUUGACAGUUUCGUUUUCCACAUGGUCCCUGGGCCAGACAGGAUGACGGUUUGUUUUUGUUGUUCUUUUGUUUUUGGCCAAGCAGGCCAAAUCAAAACAGAAUCAGCUUUGCUGUUUGGUCUUUUGCAAGCAAAGUAAUUUUAUUAGUUUUUAAAGCUUUUUUUCACUUGCCGCGGCCAGUUUAAAGUAUUUUUGAGUGAAAUACAAGUCUGAUCGCGAUAUUGAAGUGUGCAUCUUGGUGUGCAUAAUCGAUUUUCCAAUCAGAGUUACACCGGAGACGUCCCACGAUGUGCCAAUGGCAAUAAUUUUUCGCUGCAAGCUGCAACGGGUGAGAAUGUUUCGUCGGAUCUGGGCCCAAACUGAACGUCCUGUUUUAUUGGAAGGUGUCCAUCGAAUCGCCGGCAUCACAGAAUCGGUCAACAAGGCGUCGGGUAUUUUCGGCUUCCCUUAGUAUCGAGACUUAGGGCCACCAGCAUCGAAGCCGGAAAAUCAUUUGGCCGUCUUGGUCGAACUGCGGAAUGCUUCCUACGGGCUGGAGGCUUCGAUGGUAUGAGCGGCU